rnacentral:rRNA from 1 species
AGCGUAUAUUAAAGUUGUUGCAGUUAAAAAGCUCGUAGUUGAAUUUUAGGCCUGGCCGGGCGGUCCGUCUUUGGCGAGUACUGUUCUGUGUCGGGUCUUACCCUCUGGUAAACCGGCAUGUUCCUUUAUCGUGUAUGCCGGGGAACCAGGACCAUUACCUUGAAAAAAUUAGAGUGCUUAAAGCGGGCUUUUGCUUGAAUAGAUUANCAUGGAAUAAUAAAAUAGGACGUUGGUUCUAUUUUGUUGGUCUAGGACCACCGUAAUGAUUAAUAGGGAUAGUUGGGGGCAUUAGUAUUCAAUUGUCAGAGGUGAAAUUCUUGGAUUUAUUGAAGACUAACUAUUGCGAAAGCAUUUGCCAAGGAUGUUUUCAUUAAUCAAGAACGAAAGUUAGGGGAUCGAAGACGAUCAGAUACCGUCGUANUCUUAACCAUAAAC